rnacentral:rRNA from 1 species
CCUACGUGAGGCAGCAGUGAGGAAUAUUGGUCAAUGGGCGCGAGCCUGAACCAGCCAAGUAGCGUGAAGGAUGACUGCCCUACGGGUUGUCAACUUCUUUUAUAAAGGCAUAAAGUGAGGCACGUGUGCCUUUUUGUAUGUACUUUAUGAAUAAGCAUCGGCUAACUCCGUGCCAGCAGCCGCGGUAAUACGGAGGAUCCGAGCGUUAUCCGGAUUUAUUGGGUUUAAAGGGAGCGUAGACGGGUUGUCAAGUCAGGUGUGAAAGUUUGCGGCUCAACCGUAAAAUUGCACUUGAUACUGGAAGUCUUGAGUACAGGUGAGGUAGGUGGAAUUCGUGGUGUAGCGGUGAAAUGCGUAGAUAUCACGAAGAACUCCGAUGGCGAAGGCAGCUUACUAAACUGCCACUGACAUUGAUGCUCGAAAGUGUGGGUAUCAAACAGGAUUAGAUACCCUUGUAGUC